AUACGAUCAGAGGUCCGAGGGAGGAGCGGGGGGUGCCGGUGCCUCCGCCAGCUCAGAGCACGCGCAGCAGCGGACCAGGGCAGCACGCUGAACUCAGGAGCGCUCCCGAAACACGGCGCGAGAUCACAGCUGCGCUUUGUUCGGGUCCAGUGAUCUCGCUCGAGCUCGCGUUUAACUGGUGCCUCCCGCGAGCUCCCCCCGAGGUCGAUUUGCUUACCUCCCACGAGCUGUGGACUCGGACUGGAAAUUGUGUGCCUUAGGACGGACACGUUUUACUGCGUGGAGCGUUCGAGCCUUGCGGCGCAGGCGUCCAGGAUAUACCCGCUGCACGAGCAUGUUUAAGAAAAGCAAGAGCAAAGUUUUGGUGGAUGAAGCGUCAGAGGAGGACGACGUGUGCUGGCAUCAGGAGCACGCGAACAAGGAUAAAGAAUCUGAGCGAACAGAGGAAGUACUAAGCCCCUCAACAAAGGUAAACACACACACACAGUUUAGUACUCUUACAUCCUGUAGGUUACAAUGGUUGAAUGUUCAGUCUCAAAAGCAUGGGCACAAUGAGUCCCACAAGUGCUUAUUUUGCCAUAUUUUGCUCCUCCUUUACCACAGAAGGAGCAAUGAAGAACAGUUACAUUAAUCAUAGUCUCAUAAGUGCUGCCCCAUUAUACACUCCUCUUGUAUGUUCCUCUGAAAUGUCAAACUGGAGCUGAAGUGCAGAGCUCAGCGUUCAGCUCACCCAGGUAUUUCUGCAUCCAGGUCCACGUGAUCAGAUUAACGGUGCUCACUUUUGGGGGUGGCUGGCCUGUUAUUUGUUUGCGAGAGAGAGGAUUGUGUAACUGUCUGUGUCUGCUUUCACUCCCAUGGGUUCAUGCGUACUUGUAUCUGUGUGUCCAGCACAUCCUGUAGGAACGUGAAGACGGCCAUUCUUUCAUAUUCUGAACCAAAGCAAAAUAGCUCUGGGUAACUGUAACAGUUCUGCGAUGUGACACUUAAUCCGGUUUCUCACAGAAUACAUCCAGUUCUGUUUAAUUACUCUUCAACCAGUCAGGAGUAACUCUAUAUGCCUCAGCCUGGAGAUAUGUGUGAACAGCCACAUUCUGCGUUCUAUUCUCAGUAAGGAAAGAAAACAGGAAGAAGGUGAAUAAGUUGUGAAGGUAUGUGACUGUAUAUGGGGUUACAGGAAAGUGUCAGUUCUGUCUGCUCAAAUCUUGCUAUAAAUAUUCUCUCUUAAUGUCAGUGCUGCUAUUGUGGAAUGUUGUUUUGAGUGUGCAUGUAUAUGAGUGGUGGUAUUCUCUUACUGUACUGGAGCACUGGGGAAGGACAGAGCAGUCAUUAGAUUGUAAUGGAACAAAGAGUGACUAAUGAAACUAGUACCUGCUAUGACCAUUUCAGAACUGUGUGUGUGUGUGUGUGUGUGUGUGUGUGAGAGAGAGAGAGAGAGAGAAAAUAUCAGGAAAGUCAUAAGCAAAGUGUGCUGAAGUUUUCUGUCUCCCAUAAGCUGUUUUAAAGCCUGCCUGGUAUUUCAAAGCCAGAGCUCCUUAUAGACUUAAUCAGGAGGGCGUCUGAAGGAAUGUACUUACCAGCUAAGUGUUACCGCACACACACACACAGUGACAGACAGUAGUCUUACUUUCAUUUAGACCUUGAUUCUUCCAGGCCAGUAGGUACUGUUACUGUGAUCAUCAGCAUAUGGUUUCGCGGUCACUCCCGUUGGAGCUGCGCUGGGUAGUCCAUCCAUCACGAACCACAUGCCCUUCCACGUCAUCCCCUGUCUGAAGUCUAUGCUAAUGGAAAUUAUAGUAAUCACAAAGGUGUUAUCGUGGGUAUGUACCGUGUAUAUCUAUGCAUUACAGGCACAGGCUGUUCAAGCUUUUGUCUGAAUACCAUUAGUAGUGCAGAAAUGUGCCAUUCUUAAGUUAUUGCAUACAGCUCCACUGACACAGUGCAGCUGAUUGUGUCACUGACUUUUCCCACAGGACUCCAAGAGUAAGAAGGUCAAAUCUAAGCGUGAUAGAGGAGACAAGAAGCUGUUCCCUUCACAGGACGACGAGGACUUUCUGCUGACAGGAGUCACCCUUUCAAACCGAAAAGGGUAUGCAGCUAAUUCACCAAAGACAAAUGUUAUUUAAUAUCAGAAUUAGUACAAAUGUUUCAGCAUGGUACGG
ensembl:lncRNA